CUCGUAGGCGGUUCGUCGCGUCCGGUGUGAAAGUCCAUCGCUUAACGGUGGAUCCGCGCCGGGUACGGGCGGGCUUGAGUGCGGUAGGGGAGACUGGAAUUCCCGGUGUAACGGUGGAAUGUGUAGAUAUCGGGAAGAACACCAAUGGCGAAGGCAGGUCUCUGGGCCGUUACUGACGCUGAGGAGCGAAAGACGUGGGGAGGCGAGCA
rnacentral:rRNA from 1 species